AUUGAACGCUGGCGGCAGGCUUAACACAUGCAAGUCGAGCGAGCGGCGGACGGGUGAGUAAUGUCUGGGAAACUGCCUGAUGGAGGGGGAUAACUACUGGAAACGGUAGCUAAUACCGCAUACCAUCAGAUGUGCCCAGAUGGGCUUAGCUAGUAGGUGGGGUAAUGGCUCACCUAGGCGACGAUCCCUAGCUGGUCUGAGAGGAUGACCAGCCACACUGGAACUGAGACAAGGUCCAGAAUCAUACAGGAGGCAGCAGUGGGGAAUAUUGCACAAUGGGCACAAUCCGGAUGCGGCCAUGCCGCGUGUAUGAAGAAGGCCUUAGGGUUGUAAAGUACUUUCAGCGGGGAGGCGUUAACCGCAGAAGAAGCACCGGCUAACUCCGUGCCAGCAGCCGCGGUAAUUG
rnacentral:rRNA from 1 species